rnacentral:rRNA from 1 species
AUUGAACGCUGGCGGCAUGCCUUACACACGCAAGUCGAACGGUGACGCGGGGCAACCUGGCGACGAGUGGCGAACGGGUGAGUAAUGUAUCGGAACGUGCCCAGUUGUGGGGGAUAACUGCUCGAAAGAGCAGCUAAUACCGCAUACGACCUGAGGGAGAAAGCGGGGGAUCGCAAGACCUCGCGCAAUUGGAGCGGCCGAUAUCAGAUUAGGUAGUUGGUGAGGUAAAGGCUCACCAAGCCGACGAUCUGUAGCUGGUCUGAGAGGACGACCAGCCACACUGGGACUGAGACACGGCCCAGACUCCUACGGGAGGCAGCAGUGGGGAAUUUUGGACAAUGGACGCAAGUCUGAUCCAGCCAUGCCGCGUGCGGGAAGAAGGCCUUCGGGUUGUAAACCGCUUUUGUCAGGGAAGAAACGCUCUGGGUUAAUACCUCGGGGUAAUGACGGUACCUGAAGAAUAAGCACCGGCUAACUACGUGCCAGCCGCCGCCGUAAAAC